rnacentral:rRNA from 1 species
AUGUCGCCCGCAGCAACCGCCGUCGCCCGAGGAACGGCCGCCCUCAAGAGGCAAAUGCCAUGUCUUCGUCGAGCAGAGUGGGAGGAGGAGUUCAGGUUUUUAACGACCAUAGUCAAACUUCAUUUUGACGCAGUGUCUGUUUUCCAUGCUGGGGCGCCUGGGUUUGAGGAGCAAAGCAAGAAGAAGUUGAGGUUUGAAAGUGACUCAAAAGAGUUUGCGGAGAAGGAGAAGCAGAGGAGAGCUGCAGUUGGUGCCAAGGGUGCCAAAUUUGCCAAGGUGAAGAAGCCUUCUUUGCAGAAGAAGAGGCUGAGUACUGUUGCUGAGGAAGGUGGUACACCUCGGCGGAGUCCACGUGUUGCUGGCAUGAACAAGAAUCUUGGCAAGAGAACUGCUGAAGCUGGUGGAAAGGAUGAUCCUCAGUGCAAGCGACUACAUAUCACUGAAGGUCCCAACUCUGAUGACGACGACUUUGUGCUUGCUGAUUUUGUGAGGGAUGUUCAUAGUGGUAGACGCAAAGACUGUGGUUCAUCUAAGAGUCUACCCAAGCGUGCCCGUGAUGAUGUAGAUGAAGAUGUUUGUGGUGCCUCUGGCGAGGAGGUGGAUGUUGUUCCAAAGAGGAAGAAGUCUAGUAAGAGCAAUGCAACUGAAGAAGAUGCUAAGGGAGAUGAUUCUCGAUUUAACAAGACCGUACGUUUUAAAGAAAAUGUGUCGCGCAUUCUUAUGUGCUAUCUGAUGGGAGUGAUUGACCCUGCCACCAUGAUAAUGGACUUUGGGAAUGGCAGGGUUCUUAGAAUCAAUCGUGAUGCAGUUCAUCGCAUUUUUGAUUUACCCAUGGGACGUCACACUGCACCCAUGCCUGCUGCCAACAGCCAUGAUGACUCGUUGAGUGCCCUCAAGGAUGAGCUUGGCUUUGACCGUUCAAAAAGUAUAGGUGUCAAGGACUUGCUUGAGAAGUUGAAGGUGUUGGUGGAGGAAGAUGAUCAUGUGACUGUUGACCUUGCUGUGAAGGUGUCCUUCCUGAUACUCUACCAGAAUUUGCUGUGUCCCGGGCCUGCAGUUCGUUUGGGUAGAGUUGCUGCAAUGGUAGAGAACAUGGAUUAUGCGGCUAUGGCUCUGAUGGACUUUUGCCAGCUUGUUGUUGAUGAGUUGCAGGCAGCUGUGGUGAGGUGGCAAACAGAAGGAAGCAAGCAGAAUUGUGCAGAGGGUUGUGCCAUUGUCCCCCUGAUUAUGUAUCUUGACUGCUUGAAGCUUCGCAAAUUUUCAGUCAUGCACACGUUGACGCCACGGAAGAUUUACUUGGAAACUUACAAAUUUGGGAAGCUGCCAUGGAAGGCGUCAGGUGAUAUUGUGUACAACCGUCCUAUUGCAGUUGUAUGCGGCAGCUCUGAUGUGGGACCUAGCACUCAUGCUAGGUUUUAUGAGCCUAUAUGUAGCCAGCUUCCUGCCUGUGAUGAUGAGGUGCCGCGUAAUCGUGGUUUCAUGGCUCGACAGAUGUUUGAUAAUAGAAGCUCUUCUAAACAGACAUUUGUUGGCGGCAAAAAACACGAGGAGAUUGAUGAGCUUCUUCUGAAGGUUUUGAAGUUGACUGAAGAUUUGCCAACCUCUGGUGACAGGUUGAGGACAGUUGCUGGUUUUUUCCCUGUUGGCCAUGGCCCACGAGAUGAAGAUAUUGUUGCUGCUCACAAUUUUGAUUGUGGCGUGAUUGAAAGCCUGAAGAUUGCAGUGACGAAUGUUCGGUCUUCGUAUGCUCAAUUGAGACAUUCACAAGAGGAAAAAUGCGGUCGGUAUGAGAAGGAUGCUGGGCAUAUUUUGGAUGAAAUGAACCGUCAGGACGCUGGCAUUGGCGCUGAUAAUGCUGGAGUGGAAUCUUCUGGUGUCCAUGGAACUAGGGACGAUGGAAUUGGUCAGACUGGUGAUGCUGCUUGUGAUGUGCACAAAGAGUCCUAUGAUGGCUCUGGGAAGGAUGAGGUCUUGGCUGAUGCAUCGUCCCCUCCGGAUGUUGUAGCUGAUAAGCUAUAAUUCUUAUUUGGCAUUGAAAAGCCGCUGGAGAAUGUCGUCCCUGCUGUUAGUGUUGUUGCUUCCCCUGUUUGUCUGGCGGCCAACGAUGUUCCUGAAGUAUCGAGAGUGGAGCCUCAUGUAGCUGAAGUAUCUAAGGACGUUGCGGUUGACCAGACUGUUGUAAAUCCAGAGAAUGCUGAUGUUGCUGCAGAAGGGCAGUCCAAUGACGAACUUCCUGUUGUGACACCGUCGAGCAUUGAUCCAGCUCUUCUGAAAAGAUACAAUGAGUUGUACGCAGCUGUUACGAGGGUUCGGAAGCACAAGAAGAAGAAGGGCAUGAUUGCUUUUAAAACUGAGUUGGGUGAUAUUAACAUUGGCGAAGUUGGCAGGAGUGUUAAAAUGAUGUUCUCUUCAAAAGCCGAGGAGCGUGUUGAUAAAAAGGAUAUGGUCCUUUUUGCAACUUUUGAUCCGCCAGAUACAAGGGAUGGCAUUGGUCAUUAUUGUGUAGUUGCGUUAAAUGUGAAAGAAAGGCGGUUUGAAUUUCUUGACUCGCUCAAUAAACCUGGCAGCCCUGAUGCGAACAGGGUUUUUAGGAGGAUGGCUAAAACUAUCAAGCGUGCAUGGAAAGAAGGAAGCUCAAGUUCUGAUGAGCCGCUAAAUCCUCCUACACUUGAUGGAUUUGUGUUGAAACAUGUCAUUGUCCCAAUGCAGCCUAAGUUGAGAUGCUCUAUAGAGAAAUUGAAGCCUCCGAGGAAUGCGUUCUUUAUGGUGAACAGUCCUUUUGGUGAUCUUGAUACUUGCACUGUUGACUAUAUCUAUAAUACAUUUGGCAAAGGAGCUUUAAUUGAUUCGUAUCUCAUGGAAUUUGUCAUCAAGUACUGGAAGCAAGACCCUGAAAUGGGUUUAGUUUAUCAUUCUGGGGAACGUGUGCUACUUUCACCCUUAUUUAUCACGUAUGUUCUUCAGAUGGGAACAUUUGUGACGAGAGAUGAUGAAGGAAACCCUGUGUUGCCAGUUGUGCAUAGCACGUUUGUUUUACAAGAUGCAGUUAACCAGUUCAAGGUUUUUGUGAGUGACGAUGUAAACCUGUUGGAUGCAAAACUGAUUAUGAUACCGCGCUCCAAGGAUGGUCAUUAUUCCUUAUUCACGAUGAACCAACAUCGCCAGACGUUUGAUAUCGAUGACACUAGGAAGUACACUGGCCAUGCUGAUGUCACGACAAAGUGGCAGAGGAGUGAUUACCACUCAGAUUGCACUGAAGUGCCUCCUGUUGAAGAUUGGAAGGCGGAGUACAUGUUCCAGCUCCUGUUCAAUUCUUCGAACAUGUUGUAUUAUGAAUACAUGCCGCUUGAGCUACGAGAACUGAUUGCGGACCUCAGGCUUACUUCCCUGUCGCAAUCGCAGACGCAGUCGCAGACGCAGUAA